GAAAGUUACUUCGGUACAUCGGUGACAGGUGGUGGCAUGGUUGUCGUCAGCUCGUGUCGUGAGAUGUUGGGUUAAGUCCCGCAACGAGCGCAACCCCUAUUGUUAGUUGCCAUCAUUCAGUUGGGCACUCUAGCGAGACUGCCGGUAAUAAACCGGAGGAAGGUGGGGAUGACGUCAAAUCAUCAUGCCCCUUAUGACCUGGGCUACACACGUGCUACAAUGGUUGGUACAACGAGUUGCGAGUCGGUGACGGCGAGCUAAUCUCUUAAAGCCAAUCUCAGUUCGGAUUGUAGGCUGCAACUCGCCUACAUGAAGUCGGAAUCGCUAGUAAUCGCGGAUCAGCACGCCGCGGUGAAUACGUUCCCGGGCCUU
rnacentral:rRNA from 1 species